AUGUGGGGAUAAUUUAUCUCCGUGUUGUAGCUAACGCGUUAAGCACUCCGCCUGGGGACUACGGUCGCAAGACUAAAACUCAAAGGAAUUGACGGGGACCCGCACAAGCGGUGGAGCAUGUGGUUUAAUUCGAUGCAACGCGAAAAACCUUACCACUCCUUGACAUGGAGAUUAGAUCCUUCUUAACAGAAGGGCGCAGUUCGGCUGGAUCUCGCACAGGUGCUGCAUGGCUGUCGUCAGCUCGUGUCGUGAGAUGUUGGGUUAAGUCCCGCAACGAGCGUAACCCUCAUCCUUAGUUGCCAGCGGGUAAGCCGGGCACUUUAAGGAAACUGCCGGUGGUAAACCGGAGGAAGGUGGGGAUGAUGUCAAGUCAGCACGGCCCUUAUGGGGUGGGCUACACACGUGCUACAAUGGUGACUACAAUAGGUUGCAAUGUCGCAAGCCUGAGCUAAUCCGUAAAAGUCAUCUCAGUUCGGAUUGUCCUCUGCAACUCGAGGGCAUGAAGUCGGAAUCGCUAGUAAUCGUGGAUCAGCAUGCCACGGUGAAUACGUUCUCGGGUCUUGUACACACUGCCCGUCACGCCAUGGGAAUUGGCUUAACUCGAAGCUGGUGCGCUAACCGAAAGGA
rnacentral:rRNA from 1 species